GGAACCCUAGCGGCAGGCCUUAACACAUGACAAGUCCGAGGGGCAGCGGGGUAAAAGCUUGCUUUUCCGCCGGCGACCGGCGCACGGGUGCGGAACGCGUAUGGAACCUGCCCCUGUCAGGGGAAUAGCCCAGGGUAAACUUGGAUUAAUGCCCCAUGGUAUCGUUAUAUCGCAUGAUGUGACGAUUAAAGAUUUAUCGGACAGGGAUGGCCAUGCGUACCAUUAGUUAGAUGGUGAGGUAACGGCUCACCAUGGCAGCGAUGGUUAGGGGCCCUGAGAGGGGGAUCCCCCACACUGGUACUGAGACACGGACCAGACUCCUACGGGAGGCAGCAGUGAGGAAUAUUGGACAAUGGUCGGCAGACUGAUCCAGCCAUGCCGCCGUGCAGGAUGACUGCCCUAUGGGUUGUAAACUGCUUUUAUACGGGAAGAAACGCACCUACGUGUAGGUGUCUGACGGUACCGUAAGAAUAAGGACCCGGCUAAUUCCGUGCCAGCACCCGCGGU
rnacentral:rRNA from 1 species